rnacentral:rRNA from 1 species
AGAACGAACGCUGGCGGCAGGCCUCAAACAUGCAAGUCUAGGGGGUGUAGCAAUACAUCACCGGCGGACGGGUGCGUAACACGUGGGAAUAUACCUUUUGGUUCGGAACAACUGCGGGAAACUGCAGCUAAUACCGAAUGUGCCCUAACGGGGAAAGAUUUAUCGCCAAAGGAUUAGCCCGCGUAGGAUUAGCUAGUUGGUGAGGUAAUGGCUCACCAAGGCUCCGAUCCUUAGCUGUUCUGAGAGGAAGAUCAGCCACACUGGGACUGAGACACGGCCCAGACUCCUACGGGAGGCAGCAGUUGGGAAUCUUGGACAAUGGGGGAAACCCUGAUCCAGCCAUGCCGCGUGAGUGAUGAAGGCCUUCGGGUUGUAAAACUCUUUCGACGGGACGAUAAUGACGGUACCCGUAGAAGAAGCUCCGGCUAACUUCGCGCCAGCAGCCGC